rnacentral:rRNA from 1 species
CCUCGGGGGGCAGCAGUGGGGAAUAUUGGACAAUGGGGGCAACCCUGAUCCAGCCAUGCCGCGUGUGUGAAGAAGGCCCUCGGGUUGUAAAGCACUUUCAGUGAGGAAGAACGCCUGGUGGUUAAUACCCAUCAGGAAAGACAUCACUCACAGAAGAAGCACCGGCUAACUCCGUGCCAGCAGCCGCGGUAAUACGGAGGGUGCGAGCGUUAAUCGGAAUUACUGGGCGUAAAGCGCGCGUAGGUGGCUUGAUAAGCCGGUUGUGAAAGCCCCGGGCUCAACCUGGGAACGGCAUCCGGAACUGUCAAGCUAGAGUGCAGGAGAGGAAGGUAGAAUUCCCGGUGUAGCGGUGAAAUGCGUAGAGAUCGGGAGGAAUACCAGUGGCGAAGGCGGCCUUCUGGACUGACACUGACACUGAGGUGCGAAAGCGUGGGUAGCAAACAGGAUUAGAUACCCUGGUAGUC